AUUGAACGCUGGCGGCAGGCUUAACACAUGCAAGUCGAGCGGGGGAAGGUAGCUUGCUACCGGACCUAGCGGCGGACGGGUGAGUAAUGCUUAGGAAUCUGCCUAUUAGUGGGGGACAACAUCUCGAAAGGGAUGCUAAUACCGCAUACGUCCUACGGGAGAAAGCAGGGGAUCUUCGGACCUUGCGCUAAUAGAUGAGCCUAAGUCGGAUUAGCUAGUUGGUGGGGUAAAGGCCUACCAAGGCGACGAUCUGUAGCGGGUCUGAGAGGAUGAUCCGCCACACUGGGACUGAGACACGGCCCAGACUCCUACGGGAGGCAGCAGUGGGGAAUAUUGGACAAUGGGGGGAACCCUGAUCCAGCCAUGCCGCGUGUGUGAAGAAGGCCUUAUGGUUGUAAAGCACUUUAAGCGAGGAGGAGGCUACUUUAGUUAAUACCUAGAGAUAGUGGACGUUACUCGCAGAAUAAGCACCGGCUAACUCUGU
rnacentral:rRNA from 1 species